rnacentral:rRNA from 1 species
AGUGAACGCUGGCGGUAGGCCUAACACAUGCAAGUCGAACGGCAGCACAGUAAGAGCUUGCUCUUACGGGUGGCGAGUGGCGGACGGGUGAGGAAUACAUCGGAAUCUACUUUUUCGUGGGGGAUAACGUAGGGAAACUUACGCUAAUACCGCAUACGACCUACGGGUGAAAGCAGGGGAUCUUCGGACCUCGCGCGAUUAAAUGAGCCGAUGUCGGAUUAGCUAGUUGGCGGGGUAAAGGCCCACCAAGGCGACGAUCCGUAGCUGGUCUGAGAGGAUGAUCAGCCACACUGGAACUGAGACACGGUCCAGACUCCUACGGGAGGCAGCAGUGGGGAAUAUUGGACAAUGGGCGCAAGCCUGAUCCAGCCAUACCGCGUGGGUGAAGAAGGCCUUCGGGUUGUAAAGCCCUUUUGUUGGGAAAGAAAAGCAGCAGGUUAAUACCCCGCUGUUCUGACGGUACCCAAAGAAUAAGCACCGGCUAACUUCGUG